rnacentral:tRNA from 1 species
GGGCGAUUAGCUCAGUUGGUUAGAGUACGAGUAUCACACACUCGGGGUCACAGGUUCGAAUCCCGUAUCGCCCA